UAUCCAAUAUAUUUUAUAAUCAAUGUAUAUUAUAUAUUUGACUAGUUUCUUUUAAAAGUAACGUUACUCUUUGUUGCUUCAUUUAGGAUUUCUGACUGAAUUUGUCUAAUUACGAAUGGAGUUUCUUUUUCCUGAUUAUAAAACUACCAAUGCUUGUGGAAUCUCUAUGAAAACAAAAUCUCCUGUGUCAGAGCCAGCAGUCUCCUGUGUCAGAGCCAGCAGUCUCCUGUGUCAGAGCCAGCAGUCUCCUGUGUCGUCCCCUGAUGAUGACCAUUGCAACUUCAUUAUCCUUUCAUUCAAAAAAGGUUAUGUUUUUGAGAUUUUUGUUUUCCAGUAAUUUUACCCUUACAUAAAGACUUCCUUGUUUCAGAAAUAUUGUCAAUUUAGAACUAGUCAGUAUGUUAUCAAUAAAAAUUAGAAACAUA